GUUGCCAGAGGGUUUGUUUACGCAUUGCUGCCCGGCUCGGGGCACAGCCCGCACUCCCUGAUUGGACACAAACUGGGGCACAGCCUCUCGCCGCCGCCCGCCAGGCCUUCUGGAGCAGCCGCCGCCGCUGCUGCGUAGCUCCUGGAGCGCCUGCGGGUCACAGCCCACCGCGGUGCCUGGGCUUGAAGGGGAACAGCAGGGGUGACCGGCAGGGUGGGCGUGGAGCGAAGCAGGCUCCUGGAGCUUGGAGCAGCCCACCUGUAGUGGUGCGACCUUGGCAAGGAGAAACUUGAAACUUCUCUGGCUUGGAAACUGCCUAUGCUCCAGGGGUUGAUUAGAUACCCACCCUGCAUCCCCUCCACCCCAACCCCACCAGGAAGCUUGCCUUGAGCAGAUAGAAAAGCAGCUCAAAUAUUAAUAAGUCUUUGGUCAAGUCGAGGCUUCUUGUCGAAGCUGAUCCGUAGGAGCUCACAGUACUUCUCUGCCUCCCGCUUCCCUGCUUUUAAUCUCCUUGCUUCCACAUGACAUUCAAAAAGUUGUCCCUCCCAGAAGUGACCUCUUCGCCCUGGUGCUGAGCAUCUUCUGAGACUUCCCAUGGUCUCGGCUUCCUUCACAGGCGAACUUGCACAUCUUCAGCCUUCUUUCUACUGCCCAACUGUCACCUCAGAACCUGAGGCUAAAUACC
rnacentral:lncRNA from 1 species